AAACAGGAAUAAAAAACCUGUCGGCUGUGGCAGUCUCCCUUCCCAGCCAUGGAAGAGCAUAUUCUUGUUUAUUGGCAAAGCUGUCACCAUUUAAUUGGUAUCAGAUUCUGACUUGCACAAGUAACAUUC
rnacentral:snoRNA from 1 species